GAAGAAGCAUCCUCUCUUCCAGCUCUCAGAGAUGGAGACAGACACACUGUUCCUAUGGGUGCUGCUGCUCUGGGUUCCAGGUUCCACUGGUGACAUUGUGCUGACCCAGUCUCCAGCUUCUUUGCCUGUGUCUCUAGGGCAGAAAGUCACCAUCUCCUGCAAAGCCAGCAAAAGUGUCAGUAUAUCUAGCUAUAGUUAUAUGCACUGGUACCAACAGAAACCAGGACAGCCACCCAAACUCCUCAUCUAUGAGGCAUCUAACCUAGAAUCUGGGGUCCCUGCCAGGUUCAGUGGCAGUGGUUCUGGGACAGACUUCACUUUUGCCAUUCAUCCUGUGGAGGCUGAUGAUGCUGCAACCUAUUACUGUCUUCAAAGUAGGGAGGUUCCGUGGACGUUCGGUGGAGGCACCAAGCUGGAAAUCAAACGGGCUGAUGUUGCACCAACUGUAUCCAUCUUCCCACCAUCCCCUGAGCAGUUAACAACUGGAGGUGCCUCACUCGUGUGCCUCAUGAACAACUUCUAUCCCAAAGACAUCAGUGUCAAGUGGAAGAUUGAUGGCAGUGAAAAACGAGAUGGUGUCCUGAACAGUCUGACUGAUCAGGACAGCAAAGACAGCACCUACAGCCUCAGCAGCACCCUCACACUGACCAAGGAGGAGUAUGAACGACAUAAACUCUAUGCCUGUGAGGUCACUCAUAAAGCAUCGACUUCAGCCAUCACCAAGAGCUUCAAAAGGGAUGAGUGUUAGAAUCAAAGGUCUUGAAGCCACCACCUGCUCCCAGCUCCAUCUAAUCUUCCCUCCUAAGGUCUUGGAGACUUCCCCACAAGAGACCUACCACUGUUGCAGUGCUCCAAACCUCCCCACCUCAUCCUCCUCCCUUUCCUUGGCUUUUAUCAUGCUAAUAUUUGGGGAAGAUAUUGAAUAAAGUGAAUCUUUGCACUUGA